ACGGAAGCAUAGCAAUCUUUAUGUUCCAUGAACGCGGUAUGUAUGGAUACGCUUGUGUGCCCACAGCAAAGUUGAAUUUCAACUUGAGGUCGGUAGAGCUAAGUGCCGACGAUUGAACAUCAAGAUACACUGAAGAUCCAAACACUUCAAAAGUAUCGGUGCACGUCCCUCCUGUUGGUUGACUGGUCGUGAAGGAAACAAAAUCCAAACUACAAGUCAAAACAAACAUUUAAUUUUGAAAAUAAUUAUUUAUCGAUGAUUUUCAAUAAUUUGGCUUACCGUAUUUGACAAAUGGGCUUUAUUUGUUCCCUGCGUUUACUGUCUAGCGCGACAGUCAGCGAACAGGACGAAGGUGCCGUUAUGGGUGUGGCUGGUGAUUGCCAGUACGUGUUGUUGAGCGUGAUUGCACCGUCACAUGUGUUGAUGGCAUCUUUGAGUUAAUUAAAAUGGAUUAUGUGAUGUCUUUAAGCAUAGUUUAAGAUGUCUUACUGACGCAGCAGGUUAACCCCAGAUUGCAGACACCACUAGAUCUGCCACCAAACAGCGAACAAACGGCUCGUGAGGCGCAAAUUCCCGCAUCGCCGUUACGUGAUAUGCACGAAUCGAACGUAGCGACUUGGGUUAAAAGUGCUCAAUCCGCUGUUGAACUCCACAGGUCUCGUGCUGAUAAAAUUCUCUGUAAUUACACCGCCUAAUGCAAAACGAUCUUCUUUAUCAUCCGUGUUUGCUUCGUUCUGGACAUCCUCAUCUUCACGUCCUGUUUGUUUAAUGUAAUCGGCCAAUAAUUCUUUUGUGAAAAAGCCGGAGCAGCUUUUUACAGGUCGGCUCUACUCUACCUUACCCGUGAAGUCAAACAGUGACCAUUGCCCACUGAAAAUGGCCAAGUAUUAUUUAUGCACAGCUUCCGUGUCAAAAAUCCCAAACCGCCUUGCACUAGAGUGCAUUAACCCGUUUGCAGGAAAUUUGCCUUUUUCGGAUGUUUGGAAGGUUAACGAGUUUUAGGUAUUUUUAAAUCAGACAUACUGAUACAGAGUGAAACAUGCAUUAACU